CUCUUAGCCUAGUGGUUAAGAGACGGGUUGAAAGUCAUGUAGAUGUGGGUUCGACCCCGUCAUCCCCCCUCCCCCUUGUAAGGACACUAGCCUUCCUUUGCAACCAAAAAAAAAAAAGUUGAACAAACUGUGAUAAAAUAACACAAAAUGAUGGGGAUGAAGUUAAAGACAAAAAAUGCUAAUUUAAUAUGUCAAUUGAUCUUCAGCCGGUAUGUUAUUGGAGUUAGCACUUGAAGUAGUAUGUUUGAAGAAAUUUAU
rnacentral:lncRNA from 1 species